rnacentral:rRNA from 1 species
CCUACGGGUGGCUGCAGUGGGGAAUAUUGGACAAUGGGCGAAAGCCUGAUCCAGCCAUGCCGCGUGUGUGAAGAAGGCCUUCGGGUUGUAAAGCACUUUCAGUGGGGAAGAAAGCCUUGGGGCUAAUACCCUCGAGGAAGGACAUCACCCACGGAAGAAGCACCGGCUAACUCCGUGCCAGCAGCCGCGGUAAUACGGAGGGUGCGAGCGUUAAUCGGAAUUACUGGGCGUAAAGCGCGCGUAGGCGGUCUGAUAAGCCGGUUGUGAAAGCCCCGGGCUCAACCUGGGAACGGCAUCCGGAACUGUCAGGCUAGAGUGCAGGAGAGGAAGGUAGAAUUCCCGGUGUAGCGGUGAAAUGCGUAGAGAUCGGGAGGAAUACCAGUGGCGAAGGCGGCCUUCUGGACUGACACUGACGCUGAGGUGCGAAAGCGUGGGUAGCAAACAGGAUUAGAUACCCUGUAGUC